UACGGAGGAGGCAAGCGUUGUUCGGAUUUACUGGGUGUAAAGGUCAUGUAGGCGUCCUAUUAAGUCGGAUGUGAAAUCCCUUAGCUUAACUAAGGAACUGCAUUCGAUACUGGUAGGAUUGAGUACUUGAGAGGUAAGCGGAAUUCCGGAAGUAAGGGUGAAAUCUGUAGAUAUCCGGAAGAACACCAUUAGCGAAGGCGGCUUACUGGCAAGAUACUGACGCUGAAAUGAGAAAGCUAGGGUAGCAAACAGGAUUAGAUACCCCCGUA
rnacentral:rRNA from 1 species